rnacentral:rRNA from 1 species
UGGGGAAUAUUGCGCAAUGGGGGAAACCCUGACGCAGCGACGCCGUGUGAGUGAUGAAGGUUUUCGGAUCGUAAAGCUCUGUCGGGUGGGAAGAAUAAAGAUUGUGAAAAUAUUGCAGUCUGAUGACUGUACCACCGAAGGAAGCACCGGCUAACUCCGUGCCAGCAGCCGCGGUAAUACGGAGGGUGCAAGCGUUGUUCGGAAUUAUUGGGCGUAAAGCGCGUGUAGGCUGAUAUGUAGGUCAGAUGUGAAAUCCCUUGGCUCAACUAAGGAAGAGCAUCUGAAACCACAUGUCUUGAGUACGAUAGAGGAGAGUGGAAUUCCUAGUGUAGAGGUGAAAUUCAUAGAUAUUGGGAAGAACACCGGUGGCGAAGGCGGCUCUCUGGAUCGAUACUGACGCUGAUACGCGAAAGCGUGGGGAGCAAACA